rnacentral:rRNA from 1 species
UACGUAGGGUGCAAGCGUUGUCCGGAAUUAUUGGGCGUAAAGAGCUCGUAGGCGGUCUGUCGCGUCGGCUGUGAAAACCUGGGGCUUAACUCCGGGCCUGCAGCCGAUACGGGCAGACUAGAGUGCGGUAGGGGAGAUUGGAAUUCCUGGUGUAGCGGUGGAAUGCGCAGAUAUCAGGAGGAACACCGAUGGCGAAGGCAGAUCUCUGGGCCGUAACUGACGCUGAGGAGCGAAAGCGUGGGGAGCGAACAGG